rnacentral:lncRNA from 1 species
UCUUAAACAAACCAGAAUGGUAACAUUUGUGAUUUCUAUUUGUCUUUUUUGUUUAAAGGGAAGGCGAGGCAAAACAGGACCCCCUGGAAAACCAGGACCACCGGGACCUCCUGGAAACCUCAGUGAGAAUGGAGCAAGUGUCCCUAGAGGAGAAAAGGUAAAUGGAAUUUGAAUUUUUUUUUUAAUUAUUGAGUUUUUUUUUCAAGUUACACUUUUAUG